GACAGAGGGGGCAAGCGUUGCUCGGAAUUACUGGGCGUAAAGGGCGCGUAGGCGGGAUGGCAAGUCGGUCGUGAAAUCCCUCGGCUCAACUGAGGAUCGUCGAUCGAUACUGCCGUUCUUGAGGAUUGCAGAGGAGACUGGAAUUCCCGGUGUAGCGGUGAAAUGUGUAGAGAUCGGGAGGAACACCGGUGGCGAAGGCGGGUCUCUGGGCAUCUCCUGACGCUGAGGCGCGAAAGCGUGGGGAGCAAACGGG
rnacentral:rRNA from 1 species